GGCGGGCCCUCAAGUCUGGCGCAGGACUCUCAUCCUUCCUUCCGGUGGGCGCAGCGCUGGGCGCCAAGUGAGCAAUCACAGGUCACGUCACGUAGCAGCAGCCAAUCGGAAAGGCAGGGCGACUCACGGACGAGCACUGGGUCGCGCCUCCUGCUGAGUUGCCGGGUGGUUCGGGGGUUUUGUUGUAACUGGCUUUUUCUGCUGUUUUCCCUCCCUGUGGUUAAAUCUAGUGCCAUCGCUGUUCUUGUGAGGCCCGGCCUGAGGAUGCGAAGCGGAGUGGCAGGAUGAACGCUGAGGCGAGUUCCGGGGCAAGCGAUGGGUCUCCGGCAGCGAGCUCUAAAAGGGAAUGGAGGACUUGAUGGAAAGAAGGGAUCAACGCGUGUGUCCUAGAAAUACUGAAGACAAAUCGGGCCAAAAGUAAAUUUACUAAGACGCACACACACACACACACACACACACACACGAAUAUAUUUUUUUCGCGUUUUACUUGGUCGUUUCCUAUUGCGGAGAUAAUGUAGGAGCUGUUGGUAUGGUCGGGCAUAGGUAUGUGACCCCAAAGGAGCAUAAGUGAGUCUAAUAGGAGAAGACGUCGAUUUUCAGUUCAAUGAACAGUUUGUAAGACCCUUUCAAACCAUGCGGGAACUAAGAAGGAAAUAAGGUAAGGUCCUUGGGGUUUUGGUAAGCUCAGGGUCUAGUGGGGACUCAUCAGUAGCAGUCUUAGGAGGGACAAGAGAGAAGGGUUUUGUUUAAGGUGUGGGGCAUCAUAGAAAGCUUUCAGGAGUGGGAUUAUUUUAGGACGAUGCUGUAUGUUUACGGUAUGAAAUUGCAGUUUUCGGAGGAAAACAAAAUGGGCCCAGUUAGGGCAUAGUUUCUGUUUUGCGUCUUGGAAGAGCUCCUUAGCAUAUUAAAUGGCGUAUUUAUUUUCUGUUUAACAAAAAUGUAACCUCUUCGUUUCCUUCUCUUGCUCGCAAGAAUGAUUCCAACAUGUCCAAGCAGUAUUGCUUCUUUUCCCCCUUUUUGUUACUUCGUUCAGAUUCCAGUCAGAAAGACUCAGCUCAAGAACAGAUCUACUCAAAUGUAGACUGCUUAACUGCAAGUCACUAAUCCAGGGAAGCCACAAGGGGUCACUGCCAUAGUGAUUAAACCUUUUCACUGCUGUUCACAUAAUGAACUGUUGUGAUUACUGAACAUGUUAAUGAGGAUAUGAAUUACAUUCUUAGAGAUGUCAGAGGAAGAUUCCUGGGUCUUGGAAAAUGACCUGAAUAUGCAGAGGAGGUAGUGUAUCUUUCUGUCUUAACUGUACUUCUGGCACAGUAAUGAUGAGUUGGAAACGAAGAGUUGUCCAACUAAAAGAAAAUGGAUUUAUAAAGGUGAAAUCUAUUUUGUUGUCCUGAUAUAAUGAAGUAUAUUUCUAGUAACUGAUUUACAUUCUUGCUGAGUUUUUCAUCCCUUUAGAUCUCUGGGUUGUUGUGGGAUUUUUAAUUUUUAUUAUUAUUUUUUUCUUCAGAAAGCCGUGGAGAUUUGAAAUUACUGGUGACCAAAGGAAUAAAGUUGCAGGAUGUUUUUCUUAAGAAAACAUUUGUAUGCUUUAUCUGAUUAAGAAAUCAAAGAUUUAUUUAAUAAGAGAGAGGGAGAGAAAUAUUGUUGCAUGCUUGAGAGAUACAUCAACUGGUUUCCUCUCGCUCGCCCCCUAGUGGGGUCCUGGCCCACAACGCUGGCAUACCUCUUGACCUGUAAUGGAACCAGCAAUUGAACCAGCAAGCUUUCAGUUUGCAGGCCAGCGCUCAACCCACCAAGCCACACCAGCCAGGGCAAGUUAAUUUUCUCUUAAAGGUUGAUGUAAACUUUGUUUAUGGCCCUGAAUGAAAAGAUAUACCAUGUAAAUGAAUUCAAAAUCAAAACUGAUUGCUUUUUCAGCCUUUUUGGCUAAGGUAAAGUGAAAGUCAAAACUGAAACAACAUUAAUGGGAUGGAUGCUCCUCUUUUACAGCAGUAAACAUGGAACAAGCUGUAAGUACACAUGGACUGGUGCCUUGUGAUGAUAGUAAAGUGUUAUAAUGUGGACAACAGUAGUUUUUGCAGACCUCAAGAUCAUUUAAAUGAGCAAAGGGGGCCUAAGUUGUCGAGAAAAAUGUUUUUGGAUUGUCUGCAAACGUUAAUUGGAAGAAUUGUGUCAACAUUCCUCUAUCUCCGAAGAGUAAAUCAGCAUCUUGGAACUAGCAUUCCCUUGAGAACUAGAAUUCCGUUGAAAAGCUUUAAGUUUUAUGUAAUGUAAGAUUAGGCUUGGCUAGUAGUUAACCAAAUCUGAUUAAAAUUGACUGUGGACUAAUACAGAGUUUUCUUUUUAGAUGCAUGUAGUUCUUACUUUGCACCAUUCCAACAUACAUUUUUCACAGCUAAGUAACACCAGCCCCCAACAUGGUUGAAAUUCAGUUACCAAUUAUUAACUGAAUUGUUACAUAAACUUUGCAGCUGGCUCUUUAUUCCAUAAACCAUUAUGCAAAUAAAAGAUGUGCAUCAUGAUCAGAAACCAGUUGCAUCACUUCUUUCAAAGUCUGUUGGUGGUGGGUCAGUUCAACACAGCUAGUAAAGAAUAGUUGUAUUGCUUUCUUGUCUUUCUGUGAUAAACCUGUAUGACAUUCUAUAAAAGUGGAUAAUCAAAAGAGGGAAUUGGUCCACAAAGAGGACAGCAGUAAGGAAGCAAAAAGUGAUAACACUGGAAGUGAAAUUGAAUGUGGUUAGAUUUGUAAAUGGUGACAGCAAAGCAAAGACAAGGCGAGACCUAGGCCUACAUGAAGCUACAGUACAAACCAUAUUCUAAAAGCCUGAUAAAUGUAAAAACUAAGGUAAAGUUGCUGCAACCUCUUUUAGGUUAAGUUGCAUUAGGAAGAGAAAGCUGCUUAUGAUUGAAUUGGAGCAUUUUCUUGUACUUGAGGUUGAGGACUGUAAUGAGAAACAAAUCCCAAUCAGCUUCACUAGCAUUCAGGCCAGGGUAUCUUAGUGCUACACCGAAGGGGAAGGUAAUUACAAGGAGAGAAAAAGAACAUUGUAUUGCCAGUAAAGGCUGGUUGUAUCGUUUCAGAAUCCUGCAGGAGUUGACUAACCAUAAACCAUCUGGUGAAACUGCAAGCUGAGGUUAAGGAUGCUACUAUGAAAUUUGCACCCAGAUGCGAAGAGUUCCAGACAGUGCUGGCACCUCACAGUCAGGGAAGACAGCUGUGCAAAAAACUGUAGGAUGUGGAUGGAACGUAAAUGGAGUUCCAGAAGUAGUAGAUGACUCUGGGAAACUGACACUGCCUCCACUGAAGAAGUAUUCCUGGGUAUGCAGCCAGGGGAAGUGAUGGAGAUGAGAAACUUCACUAAAGGAACUCUGUGAUUUUUCUGCCAUUGAAAGCACAAAUAAAACUUCAGAAGCUGGUCUAAAUCUGCCGUGGCAUAGAAAGGAAGGAAGCUCAUAAAGAAAUAAAACACUAUCAUUCUCAA